CGAACGUCAUGGUAACAAAGUUGGGCAUGUUUUGUCAAAGAGUGCCACUUUCGGAUGGGUAAUGCCGACAUCGAGCCAGGCGCUCAUACUUAAGAAAGGCGUACUAACGGAGGAUGAAGUGCGACCGACGUCGUCGGGACAUUGGCCGGGAUCUCAGUGCUCUGUGCCGACAGGUGUGAGAUCAGGUCCCCAGUACGCGUUCCGUACCCCGGCCCACUGCAGCAUCGUGACCGUAUACAACUUUGGGCAGGGGCUGGUG